GGGGCGGAUGUAGCCAAUGGGAUCAAGGCAGUGAAUUGUGAAUCCACCAUGCGCG
rnacentral:tRNA from 1 species